AGCUCCAAUAGCGUAUAUUAAAGUUGCUGCAGUUAAAAAGCUCGUAGUUGGAUUUCUGGCUUGGUGCGCCUGGCCCGCCAGCGUUAGCUGUGUGAGUGCCGGGACGCGCCUGCCAUCCUUCCAGAGAACGCCUCUACUCUUCACUGAGCCGGAGACGCAAUCUGGAUCUUUUACUUUGAAAAAAUUAGAGUGUUUAAAGCAGGCUUUUGCUAUGAAUACAUUAGCAUGGAAUAAUAAUUUAGGACUUCGGUUCUAUUUUGUUGGUUUCUAGGACUGAAGUAAUGAUUGAUAGGGAUAGUUGGGGGUGCUAGUAUUCAGCGGCCAGAGGUGAAAUUCUCGGAUUCGCUGAAGACUAACUUAUGCGAAAGCAUUCACCAAGGAUGUCUUCU
rnacentral:rRNA from 1 species